CUAAUACCGGAUAAGAAAGCGGAUCGCAUGAUCAGCUUUUAAAAGGCGGCGUAAGCUGUCGCUAUGGGAUGGCCCCGCGGUGCAUUAGCUAGUUGGUAAGGUAAAGGCUUACCAAGGCGAUGAUGCAUAGCCGAGUUGAGAGACUGAUCGGCCACAUUGGGACUGAGACACGGCCCAAACUCCUACGGGAGGCAGCAGGC
rnacentral:rRNA from 1 species